rnacentral:rRNA from 1 species
GAAACGGUAGCUAAUACCGCAUAACGUCGCAAGACCAAAGAGGGGGACCUUAGGGCCUCUUGCCAUCGGAUGUGCCCAGAUGGGAUUAGCUAGUAGGUGGGGUAAAGGCUCACCUAGGCGACGAUCCCUAGCUGGUCUGAGAGGAUGACCAGCCACACUGGAACUGAGACACGGUCCAGACUCCUACGGGAGGCAGCAGUGGGGAAUAUUGCACAAUGGGCGCAAGCCUGAUGCAGCCAUGCCGCGUGUAUGAAGAAGGCCUUCGGGUUGUAAAGUACUUUCAGCGGGGAGGAAGGGAGUAAAGUUAAUACCUUUGCUCAUUGACGUUACCCGCAGAAGAAGCACCGGCUAACUCCGUGCCAGCAGCCGCGGUAAUACGGAGGGUGCAAGCGUUAAUCGGAAUUACUGGGCGUAAAGCGCACGCAGGCGGUUUGUUAAGUCAGAUGUGAAAUCCCCGGGCUCAACCUGGGAACUGCAUCUGAUACUGGCAAGCUUGAGUCUCGUAGAGGGGGGUAGAAUUCCAGGUGUAGCGGUGAAAUGCGUAGAGAUCUGGAGGAAUACCGGUGGCGAAGGCGGCCCCCUGGACGAAGACUGACGCUCAGGUGCGAAAGCGUGGGGAGCAAACAGGAUUAGAUACCCUGGUAGUCCACGCCGUAAACGAUGUCGACUUGGAGGUUGUGCCCUUGAGGCGUGGCUUCCGGAGCUAACGCGUUAAGUCGACCGCCUGGGGAGUACGGCCGCAAGGUUAAAACUCAAAUGAAUUGACGGGGGCCCGCACAAGCGGUGGAGCAUGUGGUUUAAUUCGAUGCAACGCGAAGAACCUUACCUGGUCUUGACAUCCACGGAAGUUUUCAGAGAUGAGAAUGUGCCUUCGGGAACCGUGAGACAGGUGCUGCAUGGCUGUCGUCAGCUCGUGUUGUGAAAUGUUGGGUUAAGUCCCGCAACGAGCGCAACCCUUAUCCUUUGUUGCCAGCGGUCCGGCCGGGAACUCAAAGGAGACUGCCAGUGAUAAACUGGAGGAAGGUGGGGAUGACGUCAAGUCAUCAUGGCCCUUACGACCAGGGCUACACACGUGCUACAAUGGCGCAUACAAAGAGAAGCGACCUCGCGAGAGCAAGCGGACCUCAUAAAGUGCGUCGUAGUCCGGAUUGGAGUCUGCAACUCGACUCCAUGAAGUCGGAAUCGCUAGUAAUCGUGGAUCAGAAUGCCACGGUGAAUACGUUCCCGGGCCUUGUACACACCGCCCGUCACACCAUGGGAGUGGGUUGCAAAAGAAGUAGGUAGCUUAACCUUCGGGAGGGCGCUUACCACUUUGUGAUUCAUGACUGGGGUGAAGUCGUAACAAGGUAACCGUAGGGGAACCUGCGGUUGGAUCACCUCCUUACCUUAAAGAAGC